AUGGGUAGUGGUACAAACAUGGUACAGCUCCUCAGACUAUUAGUUGUUCUGCUGUGGACUACAAGUCUAACUGAUGGCAGCAAUGUCAACCAGACUGACACCCUUUGGGAAACACAGGGAGACAAUGCAACCAUGAGCUGCACACACACAAAGGGUGUUGACUACUACCAGAUGUACUGGUACAGACAGCUGCCAGGAGCAACUAUGGAGCUAAUCGUGUUCACAAGAUCUGGGAUCAAGGAUCAUGAUUUUGGAGGAUUCAGAAAAGACAAGUUCUCAGCCACAAAGCCUGACGCUGAGAGCGGGACGUUCACAGUGAAGGGUCUGCAGCCAGGAGACAAAGGCUUGUACUUCUGUGCUGUGAGUCAACACAGUGACACACACACAGGAGGAGGCUGA